AUGCAAUACUAGGGCAUUUUUUUGUACUCGCGCUACUGGCUUAUGUAAAAGAUCUUCAAGAGAUAAACCUGGUCCUUUUGGAACUCCUCUAAGUCUUAUAUCUCUUGUAAUUUCACCAAAUUGAGUCGAAUGUGCAGAACACCUCCGCACAGUAUCAGUAGCGCGAGCGUAAUUAUGUUGGCCCUGACGUCUUCUUCCCAAGCUGCCGGCAAGGCGCUGUCCGGGAAUCUCUGUACCCAGACACGCUGGAAAUCCCCGAAAACGCUCAUUACUCUACUCCAGGCCGUUUAAAGAGAGGACUCCUCGGGGACAGUGAUGAUCUCGGGCACGAUUCAAGCCGCUGUGUACAUUGCACGGGCGCGGCGGCGGUCGUGGCUCUCACCCGAAUACGCCUGAUCACGAUCUCGUUUUGACACAGAGAUUCUAUUGAAACAGACGUGUCACCGUAACGAGGCAUAAGUCGUUCGUUUCGUUCGUGAACGAUUUUCCUUUCCGGUACACGCUACAACGCUAUACCCGAAGAAUCAACGAAACGAGCGUCAUACAACCGCUGUCAUCUUGUCGACAUCUCCUGCGUAGCUCACGGUCCGAUCCCCAUGCCCUCUCCUAUCAUUUUGACGCCUCCACUAUACUUUAUUCACAGACACUGCCCUUCCUUAAACGCAGCAGGUGCGCUUCACGGAUGAUGAU
rnacentral:misc_RNA from 1 species